rnacentral:lncRNA from 1 species
GGCGCCUGGUAGGCACGAGCGCAGGGUCGCCCAGAAGCUCCUCAAUGGCCGGCGCAAGUACCAGCCAGCGCCAGCUGCAGCCGUGGCCGCGCACUCGCCUCAGCUGAGCCUGGGAAUGUAGAAGCUGUUUCUUUACACAAUCGUUAUCCCAUAAUGCCUGCUUCUGCUGCUACCACGGGCUCACCUAAAAGGCAACCAAAGUAAGUUCAGUCAAUAAGAACCAACAAUAUUGUGUGUGGCUUUGCUUAUCACCGAUGACUCAUUUCCUCCAGUAUUAACUAUGGGAAUUCAAAGCUUCUCUGUUAGCCCAAUUUUCUACUCUAAACCAUGACCCCUGUCCACAAUAUUUGAGGAGUGUCUGACUUCUACUUAGAAGACCUGAACACCCCUCUCUCCUUCUGGAUACAUUUCUGUUUACCCAUACUAAAGUACAGCACUGCAACUCUAAUCUGGCUAAAAUGGACUGAUCAUUUCCCUCAUUCCAGAAAUCUUUUUUAUUAAAUAAUAAUGUUGACAGCAAUAGGUCUUGCACAUACUGCAUGGAUAUACCUGUUAUCUGUCUCCUACUUUGUACUUAAUUUGUGUUGUUUUGUUACAGGGGCCUAAGAUCAGGGCUGUCACCAUUUCAUUAAAUUUCUAGAUCCCCUUUUCUGGCAUUAUUUGCUAUCUUUAGCUGUUUUUCACCCAUGAAUAUAAUCACCCAAUCUAUUUUCUUAUCAUAGUACUUGAUUAAAAACUGAGUAAGGUGGCCGGGUGCGGU